UACGGGGGGGGCAAGCGUUGUUCGGAAUUACUGGGCGUAAAGGGCUCGUAGGUGGCCAACUAAGUCAGACGUGAAAUCCCUCGGCUUAACCGGGGAACUGCGUCUGAUACUGGAUGGCUUGAGUUUGGGAGAGGGACGCGGAAUUCCAGGUGUAGCGGUGAAAUGCGUAGAUAUCUGGAGGAACACCGGUGGCGAAGGCGGGUCUGCUCGGCGAA
rnacentral:rRNA from 1 species